AAAUACCCUCCAAUUCUAAUAAAUCUCACGUACGGUUAUUAUAGAUCAAUUUUGGCGCAAACUUCUUCAUCCUCUCUCACUCUCUGACUUCUGGAAUCGAACAUCUUCUUCACUUCCAGUUACAUCAAUCUGGUGCGUGGAAUCUCCAGGUGGUGUGAUGCGAGUUGCGAUAUACUAUCCUUCACUGGAGUAAGGCGUGUCCCUAUUUGUAAGACUUAUUCGUUGGAGCAAGAGAUGCACAUUAGCACCAUUUCAACAUUCUCCAUAUUUGCGCAACUCUUUCCAUAUUGGAAGGAGUCGUCCCUAAAUUCCCCAGUUUCCCCAUCUCUCUCUCUCUCUGUGUUAGUUCGGUGUGUUUCGGUGAACAAUCACAGAUCGGUGAUUGCAAGAGUGAAGGAACAGUGUUUUUGGUUGGGGCCAUUAGGUGAAUAUGUUUCCUCAGUUUCCCAAUCUCUCUCUCUCUCUCUCUCUGUGUGUGUGUGUAUGCUCUAAUAACUUGUUCGCAUUGAGAAAUGAGCCCAAAACAAAACCAUGCAUGAUGUGCCAUUAGAGUGGUGAGUGCGACUUCAUAGCGCCUUGCUAUGUGUCGUUGUUACUUGAUUGAUGAAUAAAGGUUCCAUUGUUGUUGUUCAAAAAAAAUGUUUUCCUAGUU